rnacentral:rRNA from 1 species
AUGAACGCUGGCGGCGUGCCUAACACAUGCAAGUCGUACGAACCUGAUUUGGAUUCUUCGGAUGACAAUGAUGGUUAGUGGCGGAUGGGUGAGUAACACGUAGGUGACCUGCCCCGAUGUGGGGAAUAACUGCUGGAAACGGUAGCUAAUACCCCAUGUGAUCGAUGAUUCGUUUUGUCGAUUAAAGCUUCGGCGCGUCGGGAGGGGUCUGCGGCCCAUCAGGUAGUUGGUAGGGUAAUGGCCUACCAAGCCGAUGACGGGUAGCUGGUCUGAGAGGAUGAUCAGCCACACUGGAACUGAAACACGGUCCAGACUCCUACGGGAGGCAGCAGUGAGGAAUAUUGCGCAAUGGACGAAAGUCUGACGCAGCAACGCCGCGUGGGCGAAGAAGGCCUUCGGGUUGUAAAGCCCUUUUCUGAGGGACGAGAGAGGACGGUACCUCAGGAAUAAGUCUCGGCUAACUACGU